rnacentral:rRNA from 1 species
AGUGAACGCUGGCGGUAGGCCUAACACAUGCAAGUCGAACGGCAGCACAGUAAGAGCUUGCUCUUACGGGUGGCGAGUGGCGGACGGGUGAGGAAUACAUCGGAAUCUACUUUUUCGUGGGGGAUAACGUAGGGAAACUUACGCUAAUACCGCAUACGACCUACGGGUGAAAGCAGGGGAUCUUCGGACCUUGCGCGAUUGAAUGAGCCGAUGUCGGAUUAGCUAGUUGGCGGGGUAAAGGCCCACCAAGGCGACGAUCCGUAGCUGGUCUGAGAGGAUGAUCAGCCACACUGGAACUGAGACACGGUCCAGACUCCUACGGGAGGCAGCAGUGGGGAGUAUUGGACAAUGGCGCAAGCCUGAUCCAGCCAUACCGCGUGGGUGAAGAAGGCCUUCGGGUUGUAAAGCCCUUUUGUCGGGAAAGAAAAGCAGCAGGUUAAUACCCCGCUGUUCUGACGGUACCCAAAGAAUAAGCACCGGCUAACUUCGUG